GAUGAACGCUGGCGGCGUGCCUAAUACAUGCAAGUCGAGCGAACGGACGAGAAGCUUGCUUUUCUAAUGUUAGCGGCGGACGGGUGAGUAACACGUGGAUAACCUACCUAUAAGACUGGGAUAACUUCGGGAAACCGGAGCUAAUAUCGGAUAAUAUUUUGAACCGCAUGGUUCAAAAGUGAAAGACGGUCUUGCUGUCACUUAUAGAUGGAUCCGCGCUGCAUUAGCUAGUUGGUAAGGUAACGGCUUACCAAGGCAACGAUGCAUAGCCGACCUGAGAGGGUGAUCGGCCACACUGGAACUGAGACACGGUCCAGACUCCUACGGGAGGCAGCAGUAGGGAAUCUUCCGCAAUGGGCGAAAGCCUGACGGAGCAACGCCGCGUGAGUGAUGAAGGUCUUCGGAUCGUAAAACUCUGUUAUUAGGGAAGAACAUAUGUGUAAGUAACUGUGCACAUCUUGACGGUACCUAAUCAGAAAGCCACGGCUAACUACGUG
rnacentral:rRNA from 1 species